GCCCUCGUAGCUCAGCUGGAUAGAGCAAUCGCAUCCUAAGCGACAGGUCGGGAGUUCGAAUCUCUCCGAGGGCG
rnacentral:tRNA from 1 species